rnacentral:rRNA from 1 species
GAUUUCUGGUUCGGCGCACUUGGCCCGUCUCGGUUUACGGGAUUGUGUGCCGGUGUGCGCCAUCCAUCCUUCGAGUGAACACCGCUGCCCUUCACUGGGUGGGCGGUGCUAUCUCGAUCUUUUACUUUGAAAAAAUUAGAGUGUUUAAAGCAGGCUUGCGCUAUGAAUACAUUAGCAUGGAAUAAUAAUUUAGGACUUUUGUCUUAUUUUGUUGGUUUCUAGGACUUAAGUAAUGAUUGAUAGGGACAGUUGGGGGUGCUAGUAUUCAGCGGCCAGAGGUGAAAUUCUUGGAUUCGCUGAAGACUAACUUAUGCGAAAGCAUU